rnacentral:tRNA from 1 species
UGCGGGGUAGAGCAGUUGGUAGCUCGUCGGGCUCAUAACCCGGAGGUCGCAGGUUCGAGUCCUGUCUCCGCUACUA